rnacentral:rRNA from 1 species
UAUUUAUUAGAUAACAGACCAAUAUUCCUCGUGUCUAUUGUGGUGACUCAUAGUAACUGAUCGGAUCGCAUGGCCUUGUGCCGCGACUAACCAUUCAAGUUUCUGACCCAUCAGCUUUCGAUGGUAGUGUAUUGGACUACCAUGGCUUUCACGGGUAACGGAGGAUUAGGGUUCGAUUCCGGAGAGGGAGCCUGAGAAACGGCUACCACAUCUAAGGAAGGCAGCAGGCGCGUAAAUUACCCAAUCCUGACUCAGGGAGGUAGUGACAAGAAAUAACGGGUCGGGGCAUUCGCCUCGGGAUUGCUAUGAAUCGAAUUUACACCCCUUAAUGAGGAUCAAUUGGAGGGCAAGUCUGGUGCCAGCAGCCGCGGUAAUUCCAGCUCCAAUAGCGUAUAUUAAAGUUGUUGCAGUUAAAAAGCUCGUAGUUUGAUUUCUGGACGGGCGCCAACACCCGCUUGUUUAGUGUGGAGGCGGCGCCCGCCCAUCCUUCUGUUAACGCCACCGGCAUUCGUUUGCUGGCGGCGGGCUCAGAUAUUCUACCUUGAGAAAAUUAGAGUGUUUCAGGCAGGCUUGCGC